GGGCUGGGCCGAGGGCUGGGGACCGACGCCAGGGCGGCGGAAGGCGCGGACUGGCGCUGCGGCGUAGGAGGAGCGCUCCUGGGGGCAGCUGUUCCUGGACAGCUUCACCUGCCCCAGUUCUCCCAUCAUGGUAAACAGCACUUCAGUUCACUCCCAUUCCAGGGUUUGUGGCUCCCUCUCCUGAGCUUCCCAACUCACAGCUGUGGUGAUGGCCCAUACCCAGGACUGCCUGCUUUGCGAGGAGAGGAGAUCACAGGUGGCUCCUGGACACAGCAGGUACCUUGGGUGGGGCAGCCUCUGACUGAGCAUCCAGGGGCCCCACAGUCCCAUCUCACUUGCCUCUAGGUCAGAAGGAUGAGCUGGGGAAAGCAGGGGGGAAGGAUCAUGGUGGAGGCAGCCCCCUUAAAAAAGAAAAUGUUUCCCUGGGACCCAGUCCAGCCCCCUCCGGAGUGCCUGUUGCCAGGGAAGAACCCUGCUCUCCUCAGCCCUCCCCCAGGGAACUGUUCUGUCUGUCCUCCACCUCCCACCCCAGAGAACACCAGGGACUCGUGACUCCAGAACCAAGGCCAUGCCUAGCUGCCUGGACUUCAGGGCCUCCUGCCAGCCAAGGGAGGACUGCACAUCCACUGCCUGACAACCCCCUGCCCUCUCCCAACCUGGCAGAGCAGCGGUGUGGCAGGAAGCAAGAGACCAGCAGCCACUGUAUUGCUGGGUAUCAGCUAGGGGUGAUCAUGGACCCCUCCCUUCACCAAAAAGCACCCACUGAGCACCUCCCAUCUCCCCGCCACGCCCUGCUUCCAGCCCCCAAUGAACCUUCUCAGAAGCCUGCCUUGCCAUCUCCCUCCCCCCUUAGCCAGCAUUGCCAAGCCUGCCCACGGUGAGGGGGGCGGCUCUGCAGGGCUUUCUUGGAGGGAAGAAGAGGCAGCUAUGCCAAGUGAAGGCCAGGGAAACCCAACUGCUGUGUGUUUGAGGAAAGCCUGGCUGUCUUCUGUGACAGUGGGUGCCAGGAACACAAGAGAUCAAGUGCCCCCAGAGGAGAUGCCAGGGGUCUACAGGUUUCAUUAUGAUGUUAGGCAAUGGCUCCCAGACCCAUCACCUGCAAGAAAUGGCUGAGUUGGGCACCCUCAGCUCUCCCGGGGAGUCUUAGGCCCUGAGGACUGAGCAAUGCACAUGCGGAUGCAAGCAUCACUCUGGGUUGGUCCUGGAGUUGGAAGAGCCGGGGGUCCUCCCACCCAGACUGACUGGCAUUCCCCUUCUUGGCACCCCGGGAGCAAAGGAGAGGACCAGCCUGACUCCUUUAUGGUUGAAGAAGGGUUUAAUCUCAAUAAGUGACCUAUAUUCCUCCUGGCUUGGAUCAGGGCAGGCAGUAUCUAUCUCAAGAAGACACAAACUCACCAAGGUGGGAGGAUGAGUGGGUGGG